rnacentral:lncRNA from 1 species
AGCUUUAAAUUCAGUUUCAAUCCAUGUAUGCAAGCAGAUUCAAUUAAUCACACUAAGCAUGACAAUGAACUGGAGCUAAGCAUAUUAAUCACAUUCAGUCACCAAACAAAGCUCUUAAAGUAUCCUGGGACAGAUUCUAAACAUUUUAAUUUAUCAAUCUCUAACAAUCCUCAGGUUUUCAAUCACACCACACAUUAUAACCAGUCAAAAACACAA